AGCUCUGAUUGUGUUGUUUGGGAAUCUCUUUUCUGUGAUUACAGUUUGCAUCUUGUUUUGCUAUGCAAUAUUUUCCUGAAUAACUCAUUUUUUGAGCAGAGGUAUAUCGUUCUGGUAUAGUUCUGCUGCACAUAUUUGAGUUCUAGGAGGUAAUUAUCUCAAAGCUUGUGUUUUUCAUUGCCUGUCUGUUUAGAAGUAAGUUUGGUUUGUACAUUCCGUUGAUUUUUAUAAUGACUACUGUAUAAGUAUUGUGUUGCUUUUGAAACCAUCUAAAUUCAAUUGAUGAUUUGAUCAUUUCUUUUUGAUUGAAAACAUUUCAGGUAGUAUGCAUUGCUCUUGAAAGCUUUCAAGUUUAGUUGAUAACAGAACCAGCUUAUCUACAGCUCCGUUUCUUACUUUUCUGAAAUUUUAGUUUUACUGCACAUUCCUGAUUUCUGAGAGGUGAAUAUAUUUAUGAUUUCUGAGAGGUAAAUAUCUCAAGUUUGUUUUUUUCUUUGUCUGUCUGUUUAUUGGUUUGAAACUUAAGAUUUAAUUUGUUGGUGUAUUUCAUAUGAGAAGAAAUUAUUGCAAUUUGCACCUCUUGUUUCAGUCUUUUUAGUUCCCAGUAUUGUUAUUUGUAAUGAAAUUGCGGUCAGAUAAUUGAUUAAACUGUCAUUAGUCUUGCAACUCGGAUAUUCACACUGUCUUUAUUGUUCAGUUACUUGCUGUUUGCUUUGAUGCAUUCAAGGAAUUUAUUUUUGUUAUCCCUAAUGCCAGUUGAUGUAGAGUUGUGCAACUUAGAGAUCUUGUUGAUAAGUGUAUCUAUAACAGGCUCAGCUAACCUCAUUUUUUGAGCCGAAGGUCUAUCCGAAAUAGUUUCUCUACCUCCUAGUGUAUGUUGUUGUAUAGUGCUGCUGCACAUGUUUGAGUUCUUAAAGGUAAAUAUCUCAAGCUUUUGUUUUUCCUUGCCUGUCUUCUUAUUGAUUAAAACUUAUUAUAAGAUUAGAUUUAUUGGUUUAUUUCAUAUGAAAUAAAGAAAUAAUUGUAAAUUGCACCUUUUGAUUUGUCCUUUUUUGUUCCCAACAUUAUGCAUAAAUAUAAGUGCAGUCAAAUAAUUGCUUAAACUCUCGCUAGUCUUGCAGCUUGGGAUAUUCACACUAUGUUUUUGUUCAGUUACUUGCUACUCUCCUUUGAUUUAUUCGAGGUAAUUUAUCGUUGUUACCCUUAAUGUCAGUUGAUGUAAUUGUGCAAGUUAGAGUUCUUGUUCAGUUUUUCUGUUGAUUAAACUUUAAUUUGAUCUAGUUGAAAUUCAGUUUACUUUAGCUGAACAUCUGAGUGAUUGUGCAAAACAUCUUUUUCUCUCUCAUUGACAUACUUUUUUCUCGUGGAAUGCUACAAAGUUCUUCUAUCUACAGUUGUAGCUGUAUUAUUCUGUGUUUUGAAUUGGAAAUUAUAUGGCCUUGGAAUUUUACUUGGAUUUGUUGUUUUUGAAAUUUAAUCCAAGUUUUCCUUGUGAACAACUUUCCUGUUAGGAUGCUCUUUUGAGGAUUUUAGACUUGAGUUUAACUCGGUGGUUCUCCUAAAGAGUUCUGGUUGAACUGGUAUGACUGGUACACCAGCUGGAGCUCAACUAUUAGUGGUUGCUCUAAUCCUGCAGCUUGAUGUACACAGUAAAGCUUUUCCUUGUUGGUAAGUUGACAAACUCAACCCUGUAAACAUGGAAUAUCGGAACUUUUAAAGUUUUAUUUGAGCUCUAUCUUGGUGAUCAAUUGUCUAUGAGUAGUUUCAACACCACUUUCUGUUUCUACUUGGAUAUCAAGCUUGUUAAUUUACUCUUUGGCUCUGGUUGAUCUAGUUUCGGUAUGGUUUUGCACUUGUCUCAUGACAGACAAUUUGAUUAAGUGAGGACAGAAAUCUGUAAAGAUUUCACCACACAAGCUGAUUAGAGUUUUGUGUUCUAUUAAUGUGUAGAAAUAAUAUAUGCUGACAGAAUCAUAAAAAUUCUAAUGUCUUUUGCAAUUCAUGAUUGUAGCCAAUUUGUAUCAUGUUUACUUAUAGGACAUUGAGUCAUUUCUGUCCCUUUGGUAUUUGCUUAUCUCCUACCAAGCUUGCUUCAUUAUGAUUCUAUUGAAUUAUCCUGUUAUGUGGCCGAGAAGCUUUAAUAAUUAUUAUAACUUGUUCAUUGAUACAUGAUUAAUAAGCUAUGAUCUUAAAAAGAGGUGUUUGAGGAGAAGUCGGAAUGAUGCACAAGGCUUUUUCUAUUUUUCAGUUUGGAUGGGCAAGGGUUUCCUUCCCACUGAAACAUGGAAGAUUAUUUUCCUAAUACCUAGUCAUGAUGCAUGUGCCUCAACAAUUAUUUCUGACGCAAGGCAUUGUUGGGUCGGAUCGAUGCUGCAUUUGCCUUUUAAAAUUAUUCAACCUCUUGACCAUUCUCCCAUAGCACAAUCCUCUUAUUGGGAUAAUAUUGUACAACUUCAAUGUGUUAUUGCAAGGAUGACAGGAGGUUCAUUAAAUCUUGAGAAACUUGGACUAGAGGGAUUAGAGUUGCAAGAAGAUAUCUUCUUUGGACUUCAAUGCACUUAGCAUAGUAAGGUUUGCUCAACUUGAACAACAGAUAACGCAGAGGAUAAAUAACAGGUGGCAGUUUCAUCAAGAAAAUCCCCUUGAGAGACGUCUAUAUCAACCGCUCUCCCUCGUCUUUUUUAGCUCACUUGUUCUUCUCAUCAUAUAAAAAAUUUCUUCUAUUUUUUUCAAAUGACGCAGGAGGAAAACUAUUAAGGCGAUGGUUCCAUCAGGUGAGAUGCAUUUUAGGGGAUGUGAGGAAGAUCCCAUGGGGGAGGUACACAACUGAGAUAAGAGAGAUCCUGGCUUACGCUUGGAGCUUUUGAUAUACCCAAAGAAGUUGCUAGGGCUUACAAUUGGCGGCGAGGAGGUACCGUGGUCACAUUCCUCGAGAUAACCUCCAAAACACCAGAGAUUUCUUGAGAAGCUUAUUUGCAAACAACAAACAACAAAAGAAGAGAGCUCCAACAUUCUUAUGGAUAUUCAGAGGAUUAAAAUGAUGAUUCAGUGCAACCAAACAUCAACUCACAUUUUCGUGUUGAUCUAUGAAUAGAAUCUAUACAUCGCUAUCAA